GAGGAGUAGCAGGAGGGGGAGAAGCAGGUGGUGGGGUAGCCUGAGGUGGAGAAGCCGGUGGGGGAGUUGCGGGAGGUGGGGUAGCUGGGGGAGGAGUAGCCGGUGGAGGAGAAGCUGGUGGUGGGGAGCUAACGGGCGGGGGAGUCGCUGGAGGAGGAGUGGAAACUGGUGGUGGAGAAGCUGUCACUGGAGGUGGUGAUGAUGUAGGAGGAGGAGUGGAAGCUGGUGGCGGAGAAGUAGUUGUGGGUGUUGGAGGUGGUUGAGUAGUAGGCGGAGGUGUGGAAGCGGGUGGGGUCGGCGGCACCGGCGUGGAUGUCGGAGGAUUACUAGGAGUAGGAGGAGCUUGGCCUAAAGCGCCAGCUACAGCAAUGCAAAACAAAGCUGAUAAGAACAAAAACUUGUUAUUAAGCAUCAUGUUGGAAACAAUGGUGACCCUUUAAUCCUGCACACCCUCUCCGCUUAAACUACGCCCAGCCGCGCAAGCAAAAGAGGGAGAAGAAUAGCAAGUAUGAGAAAUGAAAAGAUGGUGAUAUUUAUAUAUAGGAUAUGGAAAUUUCUAUAUCAUAUUUCAAUUUUAAAUCCCAAAAACAAAUAAUUUAAUAACAUUUUUAUUUUAUUACUAAUGGGAAAAUUAUAUUACUAAUCCUAUACAAAUUCCUAUUUUAAUUUAGUGCAAUUUAACUCGUUCGUUGUGUUAUUAAUAGGUUCAAAAUUGAUAUUCGAUCGUACAAGCAGAGAUGUAGAAAUCAAUCAAUUUUGUUAAAUAAACAAUAAAUCUCAAUCUUAGUCAAAUGCUUAAAGCUGUUAUAAAAAAAAAAUCACGUCACCACUUUAACAAUAAUAAGUAUCAAAUUAUAUAGAAGUAAAGGAUUAAGUCUCUAAUUUCAAUUUAGUAAAGGGACUAAACUGGAAUUAAAGGGUUAGAGUUUUUUCCUCGUUUGGUGAGGUAAAAUAAAAACCCUAGUGGGGCAUAGUUAUAAUGUCACUUUGAUGAUUAUAAAUGAUGCGUUAGUUAGUCAUACUUUAGGUAAAAAACUGUAAGGUGAGUUAGUGUAGAUUGAAAUAUUUUAGUGAAAGGUUAAUUUAUACCUUAAAAAUUUUGCAAUAUUUGGUAGUUCCAUGAAAUGAUUCCCACUAUCAUCAACUUUUCAAUCAUUCAAAUAGGUUUUAAUUUGUUUUGUUGUGAAAUUUUUAAGGAGUAGAUUUGAUUAUGGAUCAGGUCGGGUUGUUAUAAAAUUUUAGGUUUGUUUUUUAAGUUUGAAUUUGACUUGAAAAAUAGGUUUAAAUUUUUACUUAAGCCCAGUCUAGAUAAAAAUAUUAAACCCAAGUCCGGACGUAUUAAACUUUUUAUAUUAUUAUUUAUAUAAAAACAAAUUUAAAAAUAUAAUACAUCAAAUACACUAAAAAUAUUAAAAUAGAUGUUCCCCAACAAAUUCAAAAUACAUUAAAAAAGUUUUUAUACUUAGCAAGCAAAUGCCUCUAAAAUAGUAGCAAAAUUAACAACAAAAGAGUUAUAUAAUAUCCAAACAAUAACAACAAAAUAGUAGUAAUAUAAUAGCAAAAUGGCAGCAAAAUAACAGUAGAAAAAAAAUUUAGGCAAAUUCGGGCUGAGCUGUGUCAAGCCCAGGUAAAAAAAGAUCUUACCCGAGGUCGGCCCUUUUAGAAAACGAGCCUUAUUUUAUUGUCGAAACCCAUUUUCUGAACCUAUAUUUUUCCCAAAUCCUCCCACUUUUGGGGCGAUCUUUCGGGCUUGGGCAGGUGGCUCGGCCCAUGAUUAGGUCUAACGAUGGGUUCUUUUGUUAGUAAUGUUUAUUUGGUGUUUGAGUUUUUUCUGUCUUAAUUUGGUACCUAAUUUUGGCUUUAAUUUUUUUUUCCAAUUAAGCACUUAAGUUUGGCUUCAAUGUUCAAAUUGGUACCUAAUUUUUUUUAUCCAAAUUAAUUACCUAUAUUUUGUUUACCAAAGCACGUGUGUCAAACAUUCAUUGGGUCAUAUGAUGACAUUUGGCUUAGGUAUCAAAUGAAUAUCAAAUCCGAACUUGAGUACCAAAUUGAAACAAAAAACACAAAUACCAACUAAGUAUUGAAGCUAAACUCAAAUAUGGAAUGGUAUGUUAGCCCAUUUGUAAACAAAAUUUCAAGGAAGACUUAAAAUUUAGCAUCUACUGAGCUUUCAUUUUCCCUUUUGUAUGUUACAAUUGAUGUUUGUUUAACGCAUAAACUUGGUAUCUUUUUUCCCGUAAUGAUAUUUAAGCUUUUUUUUAUACUUGAUAUCCAAACUUUCAUUCUGUCACACCAUUUUGAGCAAUUUUUGUACAACUAUAUUAAAAUCUGUAGUUUGGUUAUCUUCAACAUUAAGGAUUUCUACGACAUACUUUUUGCGCAUUCCUCCCAUGACAUUAAGAAGUAGGGAGGCGAAAGUGGUGGUGCUAAAAGGAUCAGUUUAUCUAAUUAAGUGGAGAGUUGAAAAGGGAAAUAAAUUAGGAAGGAGUAGGGGACUCACACAUCCAUAACAUAUGCAUAUGUUAAGAUUAAAAAUUUACACAACCCAAUUGCAAAUGGUGAGACUUGGACUUGGAUACUCAAGGAUCCAAGAUCUCGCCUUAACCAACAAUGUUAAGAUCUCAUUGACUCUUUUGGGGUUUUUUCAAAUUCAAAUAUAAGGAUUAAAAAUUAUGAUAUAACUCAAUAUAAUAUUAAAGAGUAAAAAUUAAUCAAAAUUUACAUAUAUCACUCAUUUAAUCAUGUGUACAGAUAAAAGGAAACCACUCGUCCUCUUGCCAACCCUACGUGUAACAUAAUUCACCAUAAAUUCCAUUUACCAACAUAUACAUACAUACAUAAAUAUAAAAGAGAACUUCAUUGGUCUUGGACUGGAUUGGCUACAAACUUUGACAAAAGGCAUGUGUAGGAGGAUUAAAUUCGAUGAAUUGCAUGAUAGUUUCUCCUUUUUGAUAAUUUAGUACAUGAGAGAAUAAUGAUGAUUGUGGGGGGGGGGGUGCUCCAUCGAAAUAGCUGGAAUUUAUUUAUUUUAGUGAACUGGCAAAUGUAAUUUGUACGCCAAGUUAUAAGGUGAAAAAGGGAGAAAUCAUAUAGAUUUGGUUGGUAAUGGUAUGUUGAUGUUGAAGCACCUGCGGUGCAACGCCACAAUUAGUAGGCCCCUAGCCCCGCUGUCACCCCAUCAUAUGUGCUUUUGGAUGGAUCCAACAUUUUCGUGUUCUUUCCUUCUUCAACAUCAUCAUUAUUAAUUAGUUACUCUUCAAUUUCUAUAUGUAAUUUGCUUUCUUUUCAUUCAUAGGUUUUCUGUUUUUCUUUCUUUGAUUUUGUCUUGUGCACAACUGACGUCCUCCAUUAUUUUUCCCCUUUUGUAUAAUUGGGUUUGUGACUUCAAUAGUCUCCGUUUGUAUGGAAAUUAUUUUAUGGAUUUUUUCAUCAUAUCAUUUACGAUAUAUUUUUAGUUAUUUAAUGUUAUUUUAGUAAUUUUUUUUAUAUCAUUGAUACAUAAUUUUGUUAAUUUUUUUACCCAGAACUUUUAAUCUCGAACUUAGAACCCCGAACUCCGAAUCUUGAACCUUGAAUUCUAAACUUAAACCUUGAAUCUUGAAACCCUCAAGGUUCAGGUUCAAAGUUUGCAGUUCAGAGUUUGAGGUUUGAAAUUUAAGGUCUGAGUUUAAGGUCAAGGUUCAAGGUUCAGGAUUCUGGGUUUGAGGUUCAAGAUAAAAAAAAUUACUAAAAUUAUAUGUCAAUGACAUGAAAAAAUUAUUGAAAUGUCAUUAAAUAAUAGGAAAGAGACCAUGGAUGAUGUGGUGGGAAUGGUCCAAAAAUAAUUUCUCAUUUGUAUGGGAUAUUGUUCCUUAUCUAUUAUAAUUUGGUAUCUCUAUUUUUAUAAUAUUAUUAGUAAAUCCAAAUUUAUAACGAUGUUGAUUGCUUCAAUAAAAUGAUAAGGUGGAUUUUUAUAGGAAGAAAGUUAUUUGAGUUUAUUCGAAGUUAUAAUUUAUAAUUGUAUUAACAAUUACAAACUAAACCAAUUAUUAAAAAUAAUUAACUUAACUCAAACUAAGUCAUCAGAAUAAAUUUGAUUGUGGGAUUUGAAUUUGAGCCCUCCUUAGGCUUCAUUAGCUUAUUUGGGCUCUAUUUACUAAAAGAAAAUUAUCAACAAAAAAAUUCAUGACGAUCCAUUAAUAAUUUUAUUAAUUUGAAGUUUAUUUAAAAAAAAAGAGUAGAAGGAAGUAGUAAAGGAAUUUUCAUGCAUCAAUAAUUUAUAAUUUAAACUAUGAAAUUUCAAAAAAGAAGAAAUUCAUGUUGAAAGUGAUACUAUCAAGCAAUUUAGAAGUGUAAAAUUUUCAAUAUCAGCUGGAUAUUUAAUGUCAAAUAAACUAAAGAAAUGAGAAAGACAAGCCAAUUGUCCACAAUGAUUAACUUGUUCCUAAAAAGAAAGUUGUACAUAGACUUUGCUUAUAAAUCAAUCCAAUUUUUUUUUAUAUAAAAGGAUUGAGUUAUUUGUACCACAACCCAUUUAAUUAUUAUUUUAAUUAUCGACUGAGUCUUAGUUCAGUUGGUAUUGGCAUUAAUAUCAGUGUAGGAGGAGUGGGUUCAAGUGCGCUGAAACGCAUUAUCCUCCUAUUUAAAUGUUGCGAAGGGACUAUAUGUUCGAGAGUAGAUGUGAUAAGAACCUAUAAUAAGAUUAAUGUAAUGCCCCUCGUUCCUUUAAAUGCUACUUGAAACAUACUUAAUUAUUAUUUACUAAAAUAUUGACAAAUCUGUAAUUUGAAUCUAUAUUCUUAUCAUAUCGGCUCUUUUUGAUACAAUGCUUACAACUAUCUAUAGCCCCUCCCCAAUCAUUAAAUAGGAGGAUAAUACACUUCAGCGCAUUCGAAUCCACAUCCUCUUGCACUGACAACAAUGUUAAUCAAUACAAUUCUAAAUACGAGUGUACUACUUAGAUAAUCAUAUCCAAGGUACACAUAGUUUUAAAAUUUGAUCCACACAUUUAAAUAUACCCCACCUCUGAUCUUAUCUAGCAUUUAUCACCGAAGCUGACGGUUAGACAAACAAAACAACUUGAUUGAUAUAAUAUUGAUAUUUUACAGACUCAAUCGUAAUGUUUUAUAGCUCGAGAUGAACGUAGAAUCGUGGCCAUAAUUAUGGAGGUUUGGCUGAAUUGACUCUAUUUCUAAAUAUGUCAUGGUAGACAUUCAAUAUUAAAAAAGACAAAGGGAAAAUACAAUAACCCAAAACACCAAAUUUUGGUUGGUUUAAUUUGCAGCUUUAACCAAUGCUUUUGCUUGAUCCAUCAAUUAGUGAGGAUUUCGAUCUAAAUUAGAGGGUCCCAUUCGGUUAUUAAGCUCUUUUUCUCCCCUCAUGAUUGCCAUAACAUGGGCCCUUACCCUUUUACUUUGGAUACCCUUUUAUCUUUGCUUUGGUUUGAUUAAACUAUACCUCAAUUUUUAGAUUGGUCCUUAAAAGUUUUUUCUAUCAAGAGUGGUCCCCACACUAUCAAAUUUAUCUCAUUUUACCCAAAAAGCUUACGACAUCCAAUAAAAAUAUUUAAAAUGUGACACGUGUUACAUUCUUAUUGGUUAAUAUCAUUUUUUGAGUAAACUAAAAUAACAUUAACAGUUUAACGAUCACUUUUGAUCAAAUAAAAAAGUUUUAAGGACUACUCUAGGAAUUGAGAUAUAACUUAGGGGUUAUUUUGUUAAUAAAGCUUUGAUUUAAUUCAAUAGAGAAAUCAUUAACACAGAAAGAGUUUUCUUUAAUUUACUCAAAUGGUCUUUUUUGUUUGUAUCACCUAACAUUUUGAAGAACAUCCUUUCUCUGUGUACCUCAUACAAUUCGUUAAUACGAAAAUUUUAUGAUUUUUUUUAAAAUAAAUUUAAUUGUCACGUUGCAUGUUACAAAUACUUUUAAAUGUGGACUUUUUUUUCAUAUGAGAUUACCUUUAAUACCAAUUAAAAAACAUCUUAAAAGAUAUAUCAGUUAUACUCAAAUCAAAAUGUUUAAACUUAAUUUAUCUAAUUUCUUGGGCAGGGACCUAACCCAAAAUUGGUAAAAUUAAAAUUAGAUCUUUCUAAUUUUGAAGCACUAAAAUUGGAUUUCUUUUAAAUUGUAAAAUUAUAAAUUUAACCCUUAAAAAAAUUAUAAUUCAACUUUAGCCUCUAAUUUUUUUUCUCUAACUUCAUCUCCGCCUAAUUCAAUAUAUUUUAAAAAAAAUUGACUACAAACAUCUAGACAUUACCAACAAAAAUAUAUUUAUAUAAAUUAUAUUAAUUCUAUAAGCAAUUUUCAAAAUUUUCAUAUAUCUCGAUUUUUCUAUAUAUAUUUUUUUAUUUUUUAUUAAAUCAUGAAUGAAAUAUAUAUUAUCUUUCGGAUUCUACUUAUAAAGUCUAAUAACUACACUAAUAACGUAUUAAAUCAUUUUAUGUAUAUUUAUAUAAGCUCAAGUGGUCCUAGGUAGCUUAGAGUACAAGGGAUUAAGUUGAGGGCCCUUAUCAUUUUCUCCAAAUGUGAAGUGAUGUUAACUGCUUAGCUUCCUCCUCUUGCCCCAUUCAUUUUCCUUCCUUUCCACAAUAUAUAUUGUAUAAAUAUUUAUGGGUAAUCGAUUGAGUCUUAACUCGAUUAGUAUGAGUAUUGUUGUCAAUACAGGAGGGCGUGUAUUCGGCACAUUAUCCUCCUAUUUAAGGGUUGGGAGGCUAUGAGUAGUUGUAGAUAUUAUAUUAAAAAAAACAGAUAUGAUUAGAACCUAUAAUGAGAUUAUUAAAAAAAAUAUUUAUGGGUAAUCAGUUUAUACAAUUUCAAUUAAGUGUAUAAAUCCAAUCAUUAAUCAUUAAAAUGUUUUACUUUAUGCCAUAAUAUUGUUUUAACUGCAGAAGCAUGUGGGUUAAUGAAAACUACUUAUAGUAUCUCAAUUAAAUGUAAUCAACAACCUCAACUCAUAUCUUCCUUCUCUCUCUCACUCUCAAUUAUAUAACCUACUAAUAAUUAACAUUAAUAACCCACUUUCAAGUACAUCUCAGGCUACCUGCCAUACCAAGCCUAAAGCUCCUAAGAUUUUCUAAAAGGUUUGCACAAAAAAUACAAAGAUUUAUAGGAUAAUGGAUUUGGGAAAAGAUUAAGCUUAAUUAUUUAAAUUAUAGGUUGAAUUUAUCGAUAAGUCAUGUUAAGCGUAAUGGUAAGAUACAUUGUACUCUUAAGAAAAGAAUGUAGAUUCAAAUAUUAAAAACGACAUUGUUAAAAAAAAUAAUCACAAAUCUCAAACAUGAAUCAUAAAACAGACAUGUAAAAUACAUUUGGACUCAUUUAAGAUUAUUAAAACAUGGAUAAUUUAACUCAAUAUUGCAACAUGAAUUUCGAUAUAGUUUCUAUAAAAUUUAGUGUUACAAUAUGAUUUCGUGAUAAAAUCAAUAAUGUUGAUUUGUAUUAUUGUAUUAAGUAGUGCAUGAAAUGUAGGAUUAGAUAAAUUUGUAUAAAGUGCAUGCUAAAAACUGUUUUGAAGGCUUUAUAGAAUUCUUUUCGCUUAAAAGAUAAGAGUCUACCUGAUCAGCUAAGGUUUACAAUGUGGCUUAUAGGUUUAGCUUUCAAUCGAAUUGAGUGAAAAAUUUUUGAGUUAAUCGAGUUGACGAGUCCUAUUUUAUCAUUCUAACUCAAUUUGAAAUUUUCUCGAAGUCGAGUAAAAUGAAAUUCAAGUUAAGUCGAAUCGAGUGAAAUUGUUCGAGUUAAAUUAAAAAAUUAAACAUGUCAAAUUAAAAUCUUAUUACAGAAUAAUUAAUUUCAUGUUAGAGCACAUAAAUUUGAAACCAUAUAUAUUUGAAAACUUUUUCAAAGCAAGAUAAGAAAAAAAAUACUUUAGUAUAAUAAACUUGAAUCAUUAAUUAACUUAUUUAAGUCCCCAAAAUUAUUAUUUUAGAACAUUUUUAAAUUUUUAACUUUCUUUAUAUAUUCUUUAUAUUUUUUUAAAAAAUAUAAUUUUUGGAAUUUUUAUAAAUAUUUUGAAUUUUAAAAAUUAUUUUGAUUUUUUUUUGUAAUUUUUGUUGAAAAAGACCAAUUUGCUCAUUUUUAAAACUGACUGGGAUCAAAAGGGUAUUUAUAUCAAUCUAUUACUCGAAUUGUUCGAGUUAUUCGAAUUGUAAAAUUCUACUCGACUUGAACUCAAAACUCGAAUUAUAAAUUUUACUCGAAAAAAUCAAAUAACUUGAUUCAAUUAACUCAUAAUUCAAUUUUUAUUUUAUUUUUUCAAAUCGAGUUUUGUUCACCCCUAAUAACUUAUUAGCAAGAAUUGUUCAAUUUUAAAAUACAAGCUAAUAAGAUUAUUUUAUCUUGAUAUUAAAUGCUAUUUAUACAACUUAUAAAAGAUGGUCGAUACACACAGAUGGGGUAGACUUUUUGAGUGUUUUUGCAAGGUAUAUACACCUUGAUACCUUAGGUAUUAUUUGGAGAGUUUUAUUCAUUUGUAUGCAAAUAUGUUUGCGGUAUGUGAUAAUAUUUUGGGAGAGUGAGUGUAAAGAAUUGCAUACUAGUGAAACAACUUUUAUCUUCAUUUUGCAAGAUAGAUACACCAUGAUUAGAGGUGUACAUGAGCCAGGCCGGGUCCAAUCAAAAUUUUAGACCCAUUUGUUAGGCUUGGUCCAGCCUGCCCGUAUUAAUUUUUUAUACAAAUUUAAAAAAUAUACAAUACAUCAAAAACACUAAAAAUAUUAAAUAAAAUUUUCUCAACAAAUUAAAAAUAAGUUUUUAAAAAAUAUGUACUUAAAUAAAACUAAGAUAGGUGAAACUUAACAAGCAAAUACCUCUAAAAUAGUAACAAAAUUAAUAAUAAAACAAUAGUCGUACAAUAUCCAAAUAAUAACAACAAAAUAGUAGCAAUAUAAUUAAUGUGAAAUGGUAGCAAAAUAGUGAAAAACAACAAAAAAAAUAGCAACAAAAUAAUAAAAAAAAAACAGAAAAAAAAACUGCAAUUUUUUUUAUUUUGUAUAUUCGGGUCGGGUUGAGCCGGACUCAAACCCAAAAAUCCUUACUCGAGGCUCAGCCCGUUUUAAAAUAAAUAUUGUUUAAUUAAUUAAUUAAAAAACCAAUAGUGUUUAAAAAAUAUCACAAUGAAAUAUUAAAUUUUAUAAGAUUUCAUAAUUCUAAAAAAAUAAAAUAUGAAAAUGUUUAAAAAUUUUAUUAAUUUUUUAAAAAAAUUAUACAAAAUUUUAAAAAAUAAUCAAUUACUACUAAAAAGUUUUAAAUCAAAAUUAAAUAUAAUGUAAUUAGAAAUUUAUUUUUAAAAUAUUUAUUUUAUUUUUUUAUAAAUACUAUUAAAUGUUUUUAACGGUAACAUAUUUUAAAAAGUAUAAUAAUUUUACAUAAAAAAUUUAUGUUUACUAAUUACAUUUUUUUUAUUUUUUCCUAACAUAUCAUUAUCUGCAACUUGUCAUAUUAAAGAAUUGAAGAUUUAUUUGAGUAGUUAACUUUUUUACAAAAAGAACUAAUUAAUUUUAUUAUUUUUAUGAAUUGUUACACCCCAUACCCGGUCUAGAUGUUAUGGCCAGAUCUUAAGGAAUUACAGAAGUUCAUUUUAAAACUAGAUUUUUAAUUUGAAAUCGUGUAAUAGAAUAAUGUUAACUUUGUAAAAUCGCUUUCCAAUUUUAAGGGAAAUACUCAUUUAAACUAUUUCUUUUAUUGCAGAAAAACACUUCAGUGAUCACUUCAUUUUGCAGCGGAAAUUUUCUAAGUUAUAAAAUAUUGAAAACUGUGGCUUGGUUUGUAAAAACAAAUAAUUUUGCAGUUUAAAAAUAUAACAGUUGCAAACUCCGUUAAAGCAAAUCAAAACAGAAAAUAAAGUCCCAGAAUAAUUUACAGUCCAAAAAAUCCAUAAUAAUUACAUUAACCAUUUUAAUUCAGAGAAUCUAACCCAAGCUCCCACACGUCGUCCAAUAUUAGGUUUCCUAAUCACCUGAGAUGAUAAAAGUAAAGGGUGAGCUAAC
rnacentral:lncRNA from 1 species